CCCUGCCUUUGUUGAAAAUUGUGUAAGUGUGCAAAACUGAAAAUGGGGGGUUCAAAAGGGAGACUGCGGCAGCAGCAAGAUUUCAACUUGGAAACGUUGCUCUCUCUUUGGCGGUGAGACUGCUUGGGCAGCGGCGGCGACGAUUGACGGUUCGAAAGGGAAGGGUUUCGUUCUCUUCUCUUCGAUCUGAAAAAAUAUCAGUUCGAUUCUAAGGUACAUCCAGCCACAAGUUCGAUUGCUUGUCGAGUGCUCGACUUUCGCGGCGGAACGUCACAGGAGUUUGUUAUUUUUCUUUUUUGGGUACAUGCUGGUCUGAUGCUGAUGGCUAUUGCUUGCCAGUCUGCUGCAGCUGCUGAUCUAUUGUUGCUGCUGGUUUGAAUCUUCGGACUGAUUUCAAUUUUCUCUACCAAUUUACAGAGACUAAAACUACAAUGACAACCAACUGAAAGAGAUAAAAUAAAGAAAAAAUAGAUUAGAGUAAUUCCCUCAUUACUUUUCCCCUGCUUUCUUAUCAAUCAUAUACCAGCACUUAACCCAAGAUUGGAGAGGAUCCCAUCAACUAGCCAAUAAAGAGAAAUAAAACAGUAGAAACAACAUAGUACACCAAGGUAAAAUAAUCCCCAAAGCUACAAAUAAACACCCAAGGCCCUACACAGCUCUGUAGCAGCAGCAGCAACUGGCAGCAGCUCUAUAUCUGUAAACAUUAGCACAUCUAGUAGCAAUAGCAACUUGGUUACAUUAAGAGUUUGGAGAAUUAAAUAAUGUUGUGAAUGUUAGGGUUAUGUUGCAAGUACCUUUGGUGUGGUGUAUAUUUCUUUGAUACCUUGGAGAGAGAAAAAGAUUUUAAAAAAUACAUGUUAAAUGAAUGAAUGUGCUUGAUAAUCUUAUAAGAUUGAGAAUUGUUCAGUUUAUUCCUCUUAUAUGGAUUAUGCAUUUAUGCUUGUAAGUCAUUUUAUAACUUGCUUACAUAAGGAGUAUUUUGGGUAAAUUGAUGGUCAUAGUCCCUUUUCUUUUCUUUUCCUUCAUUAGAAUUAAAGAGACUCGUAAAAAGAAUUUGGAGGACUCCUCAUAGUUGAAGAAAGUAUAGGGCUCCUAUUUUAGCUAGUGAAGCAGCACUGUUAUUAGGGCCUGAAUAACAUUGUGGCCAAGACAUUAUACAUGUCUAAGAUUUGCAUAACUUCAUUUUCUGGUUCUGAAAUUGUUAAUCAUAUUUACGUUGCUAUAUUAUGAUUGUGUUUAUUCAAGAAAGAUUCAACCAUACACUGUCAUCUAUAUUCUUUUCUAUCAGAGACAAAAUGAAAAUUUUCUCUAUUCCCUUUUUUAACUGUUGUUAUAAACUUUAAAUACUUG